CCUACGGGAGGCAGCAGUGAGGAAUAUUGGUCAAUGGACGAAAGUCUGAACCAGCCAAGUAGCGUGAAGGAUGACUGCCCUAUGGGUUGUAAACUUCUUUUAUAUGGGAAUAAAAUGUUCCACGUGUGGGAUUUUGUAUGUACCAUAUGAAUAAGGAUCGGCUAACUCCGUGCCAGCAGCCGCGGUAAUACGGAGGGUCCGGGCGUUAUCCGGAUUUAUUGGGUUUAAAGGGAGCGUAGGUGGAGUGUUAAGUCAGUUGUGAAAGUUUGCGGCUCAACCGUAAAAUUGCAGUUGAAACUGGCAGUCUUGAGUACAGGAGAGGUGGGCGGAAUUCGUGGUGUAGCGGUGAAAUGCUUAGAUAUCACGAAGAACUCCGAUUGCGAAGGCAGCUUACUGGAGUGCAACUGACACUGAGGCUCGAAAGUGCGGGUAUCAAACAGGAUUAGAUACCCGGGUAGUC
rnacentral:rRNA from 1 species